AACGAACGCUGGCGGCAUGCCUAACACAUGCAAGUCGAACGAGACCUUCGGGUCUAGUGGCGCACGGGUGCGUAACGCGUGGGAACCUGCCUUUAGGUUCGGAAUAACUCAGAGAAAUUUGAGCUAAUACCGGAUGAUGUCUUCGGACCAAAGAUUUAUCGCCUUUAGAUGGGCCCGCGUUGGAUUAGCUAGUUGGUAGGGUAAAGGCCUACCAAGGCGACAAUCCAUAGCUGGUCUGAGAGGAUGAUCAGCCACACUGGGGCUGAGACACGGCCCAGACUCCUACGGGAGGCAGCAGUGGGGAAUAUAGGACAAUGGGCGAAAGCCUGAUCCAGCAAUGCCGCGUGAGUGAUGAAGGCCUUAGGGUUGUAAAGCUCUUUUACCCGAGAUGAUAAUGACAGUAUCGGGAGAAUAAGCUCCGGCUAACUCCGUG
rnacentral:rRNA from 1 species